rnacentral:rRNA from 1 species
UACGUAGGGGGCAAGCGUUGUCCGGAAUUAUUGGGCGUAAAGCGCGCGCAGGCGGCCGAUUAAGUCUGGUGUUUAACCCCGGGGCUCAACCCCGGGUCGCACUGGAAACUGGUUGGCCUGAGUACAGAAGAGGAAAGUGGAAUUCCACGUGUAGCGGUGAAAUGCGUAGAGAUGUGGAGGAACACCAGUGGCGAAGGCGACUUUCUGGGCUGUAACUGACGCUGAGGCGCGAAAGCUAGGGGAGCAAACAGG